rnacentral:rRNA from 1 species
UACGGGGGGGGCAAGCGUUGUUCGGAAUUACUGGGCGUAAAGGGCGCGUAGGCGGUUCGCUAAGUUGGAUGUGAAAACUCUGGGCUCAACCCAGAGCCUGCAUCCAAAACUGGCGGGCUAGAGUUCUGGAGGGGGUAGCGGAAUUCCUGGUGUAGCGGUGAAAUGCGUAGAUAUCAGGAGGAACACCGAUGGCGAAGGCAGCUCGCUGGGACGGUACUGACGCUGAGGCGCGAAAGCGUGGGGAGCGAACAGG